UUUUGCACUAUGAAUUGGAUUUAAGAUCAUUUUGAUUGAGCAGAAACAAUCACAGUUUAUUACCGAAUACUUGGCUAUGGCGGAAAAUGAAGAACUUCGAUCAAGUUUCGGAUGUCCUACUAUUUUCGUCGCGUUUGGAAGGGAAAAAAGAAAAAUCGUCAGCACAUUCUGGUCAUCAUAUUAUGGAAAUAUUUGUGACUGAAUCCCAUCUGAAUGUUGGAUGACAUAUAUCAAGAUGACACUGAACAGGACAUAACUGAGGAAAAUGGAUGUGAGAUAAUCCAAUCUAACAGUUGGAAAUAAAUAUAUAUAGUAUUUA